ensembl:lncRNA
UUUUGUGAACUGAGGGGGGAUCUUGGAAGGUUCGGGUUCACGUUUUUUGGCCUGGUGGUAGAUCUGUCAACGUGCCCUUGAGCAGGGCACUGACCCUGGAUGCUUCUGUGUGUCGCUCUGAAUGGGAAUCUGUUGGAUGACUGGGACAGAUGGCAACUGAUGCGUUCCUUUCAUUCCAUGGCAGGACAAAAUAUUUGUGCCCAACUGGUUUGGAGGCAAGACAUUUUAACAACAUUUGAUUAAAAACAUAGGAAAUGCAGCUAGCUGUGUUCUGUUCAAUCUAGGCUUGCUAGCCAGCCAAGUUAUUUGUGCAUUCAUACAUGAUCAGUCAAUACAUGCAUGCAGUAUGUUCACCUGAUGUUCGCUAACUUUCUUGUUACUUUCCCCUCCCCUCGUAUUUCACCA